rnacentral:tRNA from 1 species
AUGUAGCUCAGUGGUAGAGUGUAUGCUUAGUAUGCACAAGGUCCUGGGUUCGAUCCCCACAGCAU